AUUGAACGCUGGCGGCAGGCCUAACACAUGCAAGUCGAGCGAGCGGCGGACGGGUGAGUAAUGUAUGGGGACUGCCCGAUAGAGGGGGAUAACUACUGGAAACGGUGGCUAAUACCGCAUACUAUCGGAUAACCCAUAUGGGAUUAGCUAGUGGGUGUGGUAAAGGCUCACCAAGGCGACGAUCUCUAGCUGGUCUGAGAGGGUGAGCAGCCACACUGGAACGGAUACCCGGCCCAGACUCCUACGGAGGCAGCAGUGGGGAAUAUUGCACAAUGGGAGCAAGCCUGAUACAGCCAUGCCUCGUGUAUGAAGAAGGCCUUAGGGUUGUAAAGUACUGUCAGCGGGGAGGCGUUACCCGCAGAAGAAGCACCGGCUAACUCCGUGCCAGCAGCCGCGGUAAUAC
rnacentral:rRNA from 1 species